rnacentral:rRNA from 1 species
GAUGAACGCUGGCGGCGUGCCUAAUACAUGCAAGUCGAGCGAACAGAUGAGGAGCUUGCUCCUCUGACGUUAGCGGCGGGCGGGUGAGUAACACGUGGAUAACCUACCUAUAAGACUGGGAUAACUACGGGAAACCGGAGCUAAUACCGGAUAAUAUCUUGAACCGCAUGGUUCAAUAGUGAAAGACGGUUUUGCUGUCACUUAUAGAUGGAUCCGCGCCGCAUUAGCUAGUUGGUAAGGUAACGGCUUACCAAGGCAACGAUGCGUAGCCGACCUGAGAGGGUUAUCGGCGAAACUGGAACUGAGACACGUGCCAGACUCCUACGGGAUGCAGCAGUAGGGAAUCUUCCGCAAUGGGCGAAAGCCUGACGGAGCAACGCCGCGUGAGUGAUGAAGGUCUUCGGAUCGUAAAACUCUGUUAUUAGGGAAGAACAAAUGUGUAAGUAACUAUGCACGUCUUGACGGUACCUAAUCAGAAAGCCACGGCUAACUACGUG